AGGUAGAUGCUGCUUUGGUGCUCCUUGGAAACAUAAUUUCAUAUGAUUUAAUAAACGCAUAUGUCAUACCUCAAGAUGUGUGGGAUCUUAGGUUAUUUAAAAGAAGGCCAUCAGUGUAAGUGCAUUUUACUUUGAUUACAUGUCAGUGGAAAAAAAUUCAUUUUGAUUCUCCAUGUCGCUUCAUUAUGGUCUAUUAAAUAGAGGAACUAAGGAGAAGACAUUUGCAUUACUCAGGACGUUUGUAUGGUUUGUCAAUUUUAGUUCACUAUUCAAUAUACGUGAUAUGUGCAGUAAACACUUUUUUGUUAGGUACCAAUGUGCAUGUGAACACUCGUAAAUUGUUGAUUUUCCUUUAAAUGGAAGCCAACAUAGUAUGUUUUAUUCUUGUGCAAGAUAAAAUUUGUUAGCAUGAUGUGCUCAUUUUAAACGUGGAGGGUUGAAAUUUCCACCCAGGAUGCAUUUACAGCUAAUACAAUGGCACUGCCAUAUCAACAGUUAACUAAUCAACCUUUUAAUUUUGGUGGUUGGAUUCUAGAAUUAUUGUAUUGGACCUUUGUUAACAUUGUGACAUAUUUUGUCAGUUGUAGCCUUUUUUUUUUCUUUUUUCAAACACUUAUCUCUUGGGGGAAUUUUGUGUUGGGAGUUGCCUGAAAAUUCUGUGCCAUCCCUGGGGAGGGCAGAUGAUAGAACUAGUUUAGUUAAUUAGCAGAGAUGUACCUUUAGGUUUAAUUUAGGCUAUAUGGAGAGAGCGGAACAAUAGAGCAUUUGAACGGUUAGAAUGGUCCACGACAGGUUUUAAGAUGCUUUUAUUGUAUUUCUUAUGUGAAUGAAUGACUGCUUUGUCAUAUCAUUCAAGUUCUAAUUUGUUCAAGUUUCAUGAUGAUUUUAAUUUCCCUUGAUUUGACCUCCUGCGUGUACUUCUUGUGUGCAGGGUGAUGUUCAUAUUUUUAAUAAAGUUCUACUUAUUCAAAAGAAAGAAAGAAAAGUAUAGCUUCUAAACAAGCAUCUAGACAUUAUUACUACUUCUACCUCAGUCUAUGGAGUGGUUUAUUUUGUUGCCUAAUUUUAAAGUCUAUGCAAAGUCUUCUGCAUGGGUCCAGAUUUUCGAGUUUUGGUUCGAAAAAGUAGGAAGCAGGCAGAAUAAUAUCAUAGAUUGUAUAAAGUAGUAUGUGAUCUCCAUUUCAAUAUUUUGCUAAGUUGUGGUAUGACAUAUGUUUAUCAUCUUGAUGUGAGCUCUUAUAAACUACUCUAUCAUUAGUAUGUUCCCUGUUAAUUUACUGCCUUAGGCAUACAGCUGACUAGUAUUUUGCUUUUCAAGUAUUAAAUCUCUUAUGCCACUCGUGAACAUAACUAGUUGGUAACCUAUGCAAUGCACGAGAAAAUUCAACAAAUACGAUAUUUAUUUAUUUAUUUAUAAAUAUAGAAUCUCAUAAUAAUGACAGUUAUUAUGAUUAUGUCUACAUAUAGAAAUAUUUAUUCUAUUAUUUAUAGAAACUAUAAUGUGGCAAUAUUCUAAUAUAGGGUGUGAAUAUGUUAGGUUUAUAAGGAAUCUUUAUAGAAUUUAAACUCAUUUGAAAAACAUAUAUUACAGAAAAAAAUUUGGGCUUUCAAAAUUUAUGUCAUCUAUAGAAGAAAUCAACAAAAGUCAAAGACUAUGCUUUUAUAUACAUUAUAGAUUAUAUCUUAUUUGGGUCAUGAUGAUUUGUCAUUAAGAGGUUUCUUGGACAUAGUUACCAUGGUUUUGGUUUCAAUUAUGGCAUUUGGUUGUGUGUUUUUUCCUUGCGACUAUAUACUUUGCUAAAUCAAUGCAACAUAUUGGAGUGGAAAGAUUUAAUUCCUUACCGUGUAUUCUACAUCGCUUACAAUUCUUUUCUAUACUGUGAAGAUCAUAACUUGCGUGCAAAUGUCAUGCUUGUAGGAACCAAUACCUGUCAUGCAACUUGUAAGGGAAACUGCAGUUGUUAUGUAGGAGUUCGCACGGUCUUGGUAAUCAAAAUAUCUUUAAUAUGAUAUCAAAUGUGUUACAAUCAUAAUUCAAUUUUGGUUGGUAUCAUUUCUAGAAUUGUAUUGAAAUAGAGAGAUGAGUAUUAGGUGUCUGGAAAAAUUAUUUGACCCCUAUUAGGUCACUUGUACUCUUCAUGGUCAAUGAUUGAUGGCAACAGGCAGGCCAAGUGUUGGCUGGUAGCCAAUGGUUGGCAACGGGCAUGUAAUGAUGGCCUGCUAGGAAUCAGGUGGACCUUGUGACAGCUGGUGGUUGGCAAGUGGUGGCCAAUGGGCAUCUAAGUAUGGUAUGGAGUACAUUUCUGGACUUAAUGUGACUUUCUUUAAUAUGGAUGCUUAAUGGUGCCAUUGUUAAUAUCUCUAUAUGAAUGAUACCUGUUUUUAAUUUUAUUGUUAUUUGUUAUGUAAUGAGUUCUACAUAUUGUGUCACUUUAUGAUGAAUUAGAAUAUAAUAGUCUAUAUAAGCCAAGUAUGUACCCCAAGAAAGGGAGAUUAUUUUGAUGAAUAAAGUUUCUUUUGAAAUUGAGUCCAUGGUUUGGUGCCGACUCCAGCCAACCCUAAGUUUUGACUCCUAGUGGUUUUUUUCCUUGCUUGGUGCUAUUCAAGCAAGCCUAGGUCCUGACUGUUCUCCAUGUUAGGAAACUAUGGGAAAUAGCUUGACUUAAUGCAUAUGAUCCAGCUAGUGCAUCAUGUAUGCAGCACCAGUAAGCAUCAGUAAGUAAAGUUUUGUAUGAGUAAGCACCAGUAACAACAACAGUGCAGCUUUAACACUUGGUACUAGACACCAGCAGCUUAUUAUAAGAGGCAGUUUAUUAGUAAAGUUUUGUAUCAUCUUUGUAAUUGAAGGUUAGAGUCAUGUGCUUUUUAAUUGAUUGUGUCAUGUGCUUAAUUGUUGAUUAGUUAGAAGCCAUGUGCUUAACAGUUAUUUAGUUAGAUCAUUAGAUCUGUGUAGUUUGCUGGAAGUUAGUGUUAGUCAGUUAGCUGUGUUCAUGAAUUGUAUGAAGGUGUGGAGAUGGAUUGUAAGAGGCAUGCAAUGAGAAUUCAGUCUGUUCUUAAUCCUAUUCUUCUCUAAUCCCUGUACUUUCUCUGUAUUCUAUCUCAACUCUUCUAAGGCAUGGCAUGAGAUCUCUUUUAGGUAAUCUGUAAUCCCUCUCUUCUUUUCUGAUUCUUUUAUCUUUUGGGAGGGUGUGAGAUCUGAUUUUAUUUAUGGUGCCCUUCUAGAACUAGAAUUGACAUCCUUGCCAUGUUUUGUAUCAGAACGACUGCUCAUACAAUAAGAAUUUGCAGGCCUGAAAAAGUGCAUGAGACAUGUUUUUAGGACAUGAGAUAUUUAUUUUGCUGAUGCUCCAGACCAUGCAUGAUUUUUGGUAACAGUAUGCACAUAUUGGUAUAUAAUCUUGGACUUACCUUAAAAAAACAUAUAUAGCGUAUGGAAAUGACUAGAAAUAUUCAUUAGUUAAUUUUUGGUAAGCAUACCACCAAAUUACACCAAUGUGCUCUAGCUCGAAUAGCACUUUUCUCCCUCAAUAGUGGGAUAGAGGGUGAGGUUGUGGGAGGGAAUUUGCAGGCUAGCACAGUUCACCACCAUCCUCUUUUUUCUUCUUCUUCAGCGUUCUACAUCAUCUGCGUUCUCCAGAUCCAGAUCUUCUUCUUCCUCAGAUCCAGUUUUUAUCUUCUUCUUUGGCGUUCUACAUCAUGUGCUUUUGCCAUCUCCAGAUCCAGUUUUCUCCAGGUUGUCUUCUUCUUCUUCUUUUGAUCCAGAUCUUCUUUUCCUUCUCUUCUCCUUUUCUCCUCCUUCCAGGUGGAUAUUCUGUCCAGGUAAGCACACCAUCCCUUGAAUCUCAAGUGUUAGAAACUCAAGUUCUACAUCAAACUCGAGUUUCAGAGUCUCGAGAUGCUAGUUUUUUAUAUAGUUUUGCAACUUGACAAUUAAUGAAAAUGUUUAAAAAAUAAUGUUAAAUGCAAAAAAAAUUCAAGGUUGUGGAUUUAAAACUCACAUGGUGUGGCUUUCCAUAAAAAAAAGAAAAAAAGAAAAAACUAAUUUAGAAUGAUGAUGAAACGCUUCUGCUUUGUCAUUACUAAAUUUAGAAUGGCAACAUAAAACUCCUUUUCCUUGAUCUCGUCUUUAAUUAGCCUCCUUCCCAUAAAAAAUUAUCAUGUAUGUUUCCUCUACUUAUUAUUGAUACUGUCCUCAUUAAACUUUGAUUUUCUAAUCAAUCCUAGACUUUUAAGAUUCUCUUAUUUUGAAGUUUCUUUUGUAGUUUUUAAUUCAUCUUAGUUUUGUUAUACUUGCUUUUUGUAGAGAACUAACCCCAGCUGAAAUUGAUGUAUUUAGCUGGAGUGGAGUGGCUCGCUGCUUGCUCUUCUUGCCUGCCAUAUGUCUUUGAAGAGAUAUUAUUAAUCAAAUUUAUGUUGCAUUCCUUCACAUUGUAGCAGGGGUGAUGAAUAUAAUGUAGAUUAAUUGAGAGGAUUAAAUUUCCAAUUUGUCUGAAUUGGAGCAGCAAACAGGAUAUGUGCUGGGGUCAAUUGCCUUGCCUCUUCAUGUGGCUGACUUAAGCAGUCCUAAAAUCAUCAAGCCUUUGGCCGAUUCCAAUUAGGAUGUUAGCUACAGCAAAGGGAGGGGUACACAACCCCGUGAGACUAUCUGAAAUUAUCUUAGAAUCACAUUCAAAACACACAUCUCGUAUACAUCUCCCAAGCAAAGAGAACUCUUUCCACCGUGGCCUUUCCUUCGAUUUCCAAAGGUCCCAGUGGUUGGAAAAUCAGUUUACUCAUAGCUGCUGUAACUCUCCCCUCAUGGUCUCUAAUCACCAUGCCUACACCAGCACGCCGAACUUGAUUAAAUAUUGCACCAUUCACAAGAACUAGUGAAUGCCAUCAGUGUUUAUUCGCUUUGCAUUGAUUAUCUUCUUGUAGCUAAAUCAGCAAUUGUGAGUUUUGAAGUUUCCUUCUUAUUUUUGUGUUUUUAAUUUUGCUGCCCCAAUCCAUUUAAUUCUUUUAUCAUUUAUUUGACAGUUUAUGUGACAUGGGUUGUUUGCUUUCUUUAUCUGUGGUUCUUAUUUUACUUCUAUGAUGUAUGUUGAGUAUUGGUGUGAAGAGCAUUUCAACAGCCUCAUAAUGGAGAUUCCAGAUUUCUCCCAUAAUGAAAUUAUUUGCUCAAUUCUUUAUUAAACAUUUGAUGUCAGCUGAUGCUACCAAUGGAAAUCAAAGCUGCUGAUUCUGGUUUUUGUUCUUUUCUGACCUAACACCGUUACUUGCCUUUUUUUAUUUAUUUAUUGUUUAUCAUCUCUCUCUCAUGCAGAGAAUCAUAAAAACUUGUCUGAUGCUUGGAGAAUGAACCAGGUACUAGUUAUUGCCUUUGCUAAGCAUUUUUAUAACUACAAGGUGCUCUAUAUAUCAAUCUUAAAAUACUAUAUGAUUGAUAUUCAAGGUAGUAGAUAGUUUUUUAGGAAAAGCAGAUCUUUGAAAUGAAUGUAGAAACUACUCUAAUAUCUAUGGUGCUACCAUUGUUAAUAUAAUUCAUUGGUUAGAUAUACGCCAUAUGGCCUGUAUGGUUAGAUUAUUUUCUUAUAUCAGCUUCCUCUUUUCAAAGCUCUGAUAUUUAGAAGCCAUUUUUGGAAUUUGGCCUUGUAGUGUUUUCCAAUUUCAUCAUGAGUUUUUUUUUUUUUUCCUUUUGGGUUAGCCCCCUAUACAGCUCCAGACAUGAACUUCUUAACCCAGUUGGCCACACUUUGUUAGUUGGAUCAACCCAACUCACUAGUCAUUCCUUGUUUCAUCAAUGGUGAUGGGAAGUAUUUUAUAAGGUUGUCUCUAUUGAACUUUAAAUUGCAAGCAGAAAAGAAAACAAAGAAUUAUGUACCAGAUAGGGAAUCUAAAAAUAGCUGAAUGGAUUCCCUAGAAGUAAAACCCCAUGCACGAGACCAAUCAAAGAAGGUCCCUGCAAAUAAAGCUAGGAGUUGAUCCCCACACUACAAAAAACAUGACUUGUUUCAACCCACUUUUUCCAAGGGUUCACCGAAAAUGGUUGAAACAAACGCUAAAAACUAGCACGCUAAUUAAAAUCUGACCAAUCUUGUUACAAUGGUCAUUAAAGCCCUUGAAAUAAACUAAAACACUAAAUCCCGCAUAAUUGUUGCCUCCAAAUUUUUACAUUCUUCAACGGAAUUCUAAAACAACCUUUAAUAAAAGAUAUCCAAAUAUUUCAACCCUCAGAAUAAAGUCUCUCUCUCACAAACUCAGAAUUCAGAAAACCAAUUUUCGAAUAAAGUCUUUGCUCUCUCUCUCUCUCUCUCUCCCUGUUUGUUUCUCGAGAAAAAAAACCCUAAAUUACCUAAUAGAACUUUUCAAAGAAUUUUUGGUAUUCUAUCUUGUUUUCUCUCUCUCAUUUUCUCCAUUGAUAUUUCUCUUCCUCACCAAUAAUAUAAUUUGGGGCUAGGAUUUGGAUGUUUCUCUCCGUUUGUUUCCCGAGAAAAAAAAACCCUAAAUUACCUAGUAGAACUUUGCAAAGAAUUUUUGGUAUUCUAUCUUGUUUUCUCUCUCUCACUCUCUCCAUUGAUAUUUCUCUUCCUCACCAAUAAUAUAAUUUGGGGCUAGGGUUUGGAUACUUUGGAAAUGGAAUUUCAUACUAGUCUCUUGGAAUCUGAAGAAUUGGUUGGCACUCUCACAGUAUUGGUUAAGUGGCAAGGGGUGGUAGAUGGUUUUAUAUGGGCAUGCUCAGGGGUUUAUGGCCCAAAUGAUAAUAUUGAAAGAGGACACGUGGGAUGAGUUGGUUGGUGUUCAGCAAUACUAGAGGAUACCGUGGUGUUGUUUUAGGGACUUUAAUAUUGUAUGGUUUCCAAGUGAACAUUUGGGUGGAACACGUCUAACUCCGGCUAUGGAAAGAUUCUCUGAAUUUAUUAAGGACCUUAAUUUGAUUGACUUGCCGCUGGAAGGAGGUAGCUAUACUUGGUCUAGUGGUACAAAUCAACCAUCAAUGUCUAGGAUUGAUAGAGCUUUGAUCACUCAUGAUUGGGAGGAACACUAUCCGGAUCUUAUUCAAAGGAUUUUACCUCAUUCCAUUUUAGAUUAUAGUCCAAUUCUUUUGGAGGUGGGGGGAAUGGUGAGGGGGAAGAGUCCUUUCAGGUUUGGAAACAUGUGGUUGAAGACAGAUGGGAUUGUGGAUAGAGUUCAAUCCUGGUGGAAUCGGCAUUCAUUUGUAGGUACAUCUAGUUUUGUGCUUGCUAAGAAAUUAAAGGAUUUGAAGGAGGACAUAAUUUAGUGGAAUCGUAGAGAGUUUGGUAUUGUAGAUCGUCAAAAGAAACAAGAACAAUUGCUGGAGGAGUUGAAAAUUGUAGAUGUUAUGGAAGAGGAGCUUGGGCUCACUAAUGGGGAGAAAUGUUAUAUGGCAGAUUUGAGGUCUCAAGUGGAGUAUCUUCUUUCUUUGGAAGAAAUUUCCUAGAGACAAAAAUCUAGAAUGUUAUGUAUUAAGGAAGGGGAUAAUAAGACCAAGUUCUUCCAUAAGAUGGCAAACUCCCAUAGAAGGUAUAAUCAUCUGAGGAUCUUGGAGGUGGAUGGGGUGGUUUUUGAGGAGGAAUCCAAGGUAACUGCUCAGGUAGUAUAGUCUUAUAAAAAUUUGUAUAAGGAGUAUGAGGGGUGGAGGCCUUUUGUGGAGGGCUUGGAGUUUGAUUGUAUUGGGGAUAUGGAGAGGGUUUGGCUUGAAAGGAAGUUUGAGAGAGAAGAUUUUUCAAGUUGUAAGAGACUUGGAAGGGGACAAAGCUCCAGGUCCGAAUGGGUUUACUAUGGCUUUUUAUCAUCGUUGUUGGAGAGUAGUGGAAAAAUAUGUUUUAGCGGUCUUUGAAGAGCUUUUUCAAUAUUGUAAGUUUGAAAAAUCUCUUAAUGCUACUUUCAUUGCUUUAAUUCAAAAAAGAAUGAUGCCUCGAACAUUAGAGAUUUCCGGCCUAUUAGCUUGGUGGGGAAUGUGUAUAAAAUCUUGGCUAAGGUUUUGGCAAAUUGUCUGAGAAUGGUUUUAGAUUUGUUGAUCUUUGAAACUUAGAAUAGCUCUAUGGGUGGGAGACAAAUCCUUGAUUCGGUUUUUAUUGCAAAUGAUUGUGCUGAUAGUCAAGUGAAGAGUUGGGUUCUUGGGGUCAUAUGUUAACUUGAUUUUGAGAAAGCCUAUGAUCAUGUGAAUUAGGAGGCUUUUCGAGAUUUGUUGAAUAGGAUGGGCUUUGGAGUGAAGUGGUGGUGUAAGUUGAUUUGCACUUGUAUAUCCACAAUUCAGUUCUCUAUCUUGAUUAAUAGGUCUUUAGCUGAUUUUUUUGGUAGCUCAAGGGGAUUAAGACAAGGGGAUCCGCUAUCUCCUAUGCAGUUUUUGAUUAUGAUGGAGGUUUUCAGUAGGAUGUUGAGAAGAGUGGAGGGUGCUGGCUUAAUCUGUGGUUUUAAAGCGGAGGGUAGGAGGGGUGGUGGGUAGGGCUGUCCAACAACCCGUUAGCCCGAACCACCCGUCCGACCCGAAGGCCCACGGGCGGAUCAGAAUGCCUAGACGGGUCGAGUGCGGGUCUCUUAGAGUUAAAAUUUCGGGUUUUUGGUUCAGUUUGGGUUCCAUAUUUACUAACCCGUAGAAACCGACCCGACCCAUGAGAAAUUUAAAAGGAAAAAGGAUGAGUUUCACACGCUUCAGUUUCAGAUUCACGUUCUCCUCUCUCUCUUCUCUCUCUCAAAUCCCUAAACCUAGCCCCCUUCUUACUGUCGCCGUUGUCAAGUUGAUCGCAUUGCCUUCGCUGUUGACUUGUAGUCAUCGUUGCACUCACUAUCCUUAGGUUGAGUCUCGCUCAAACCCCCUCUUUGCCUCUUUUGAUCUGCCAUUGAUCUUGUGCAUCUGAUGGUGAGUCAAAGUUUUUUUUUUUUUUUUUUAAUUAAAUUUUUUUUUUUUAUGUGGUGAUGGUGGAUUAUGGAGUGGUGGUGGUGGUGGUGCUGGUUUAGUAUUUUCUUUCUCUUCGUUUCAGUUUCAUCGAUCUGGGGUUUGUGGACUCAUUUUUGCUAUUUGAUUCUUUGUAGGUUUGGAUUGUGGUUUCUAUCCUUUGGGUUUUUGAUUUUCUCUGAGUUGGCUUCUCGUGCUUGGGUUUUGAUUUUUGGGUUUGGUUUGGGUUUUUUAUUUUCUCUGGGUUGAUUUCUCUGGGUCUGGGUUUUGAUUUCUCUAUUUGCUUCAGACUCGAAAUCACCCGAUGGGUUCGACCUGCUCAACCGAUGACUCGAGUCGACGGGUUCGAUCCGAACAUUCAGUCGGCCACGGGUCUAAUUUCUAUUCACCCGAUUGUAUUGGGUCGGGUGUGGGUCAACCCUAAACCUGAUCCGACCCGACCUGUGGAUAGCCCUAGUGGUGGGGAAUGUGUUUUACAUCUAUUGUUGUUACUUUGUUUUUAGGCUGUGAUAGGUUUGAAGGUCGAUGUGCAGAAGAGUGAAAUGGUUCCAAUAGGAGAGGUAGAUGAUAUGCAUGCCUUGGCUGAAAAUUUGGGCUGCAGAGUUGGAACUUUGCCUGUCUUAUCUUGGCAUGCCGUUGGGGGUUUCGCAUAACUCUCCUUCAAUUUGGAAUCCUAUCUUAGAAAAAAUUGAGCGGAAGUUGGCUGGGUGGAAGAAGUUGUAUUUUUCUAAAGGGGGUAGAUUGACACUUACAAGUUAGCAUAAAGGUGACCACCCGUCGAAGGGGAUGUUAUUCAAGAAUAAAGCCUCCGUUUAGUAUGUGUUGACCCUCUACUCUGUGGAGCAUAAUAAGCAAUACAAAGUCAUCAAGUCUGACACUAAUAGGUUGGUGGUGCGGUGCAUACAUGAGGCAUGUCCAUGGUCAAUUCGGGCUAUUUGCAGUAAGAAGCACGGGAUGUGGGCGAUUAGUAAAUGUAAGGGUCCCCACAAUUGCACAUCCCUCCAGGUAGCGACCGAUGGACGGAUGAUGGAUUUAAGGUUCAUUUCCAUUGCACUUGAGCAGUAUGUAUGAGAGGACAUAACCCGAUCCAUAAAGGACAUGCGUAGUAUGUUGCAUGUGAAGCAUGAGCAUGAUGUAACUAUGUACAAGGUUUGGGAAGCCAAACAGAAGGCAAUUGCGCGUAUUUACGGGGAUUUUGAUGAGUCAUACAUGGAAUUGCCACGGUUUCUAGCGGCAUUGUCCGAUGUAGAUUCGGACACUGUAACUUUGUUAAAGUGCGACCCUCGUGUCUCGGGGACUUAUAUAUUCAACUCCACGUUUUGAGCUUUCGGUCCGUGUAUUAGAGGGUUCAGGCAUUGCAGACCGGUUAUAAGCAUAGAUGCAACGCACCUUUAUGGCAAGUACAAAGGAAACUGUUGAUAGUAAUGGAAACAGAUGGUAACAGCGAGGUUUAUCCACUCAUGUUUGCCAUUGUUGAAAGCGAGAGCAUGGAGACAUGGGGAUGGUUCUUGGCAUGCCUACUGACCUAUGUUAUAGAGCAGACCAAUUUGUAUAUAAUCUCCGAUAGGCAUCGUGAGAUACAAUCAUGCUUUGAUGACACCACUAGCGGCUACUUGGAAGCGCCUUUAACCCAUCAUCGGUAUUGCCUCUGCUAUUUAGUAAGCAAUGUUAACACUAACUUCAAUAGUGUGGCGUUGAAGAACUUGGUAUGGAAGGUAGCCACUGCGAAUCAAGUUAGGAAGUUUGAAAACACCAUGUAUUGCAUCAAGAAUGUCAAUUCAGAUGCGUACGACUAUCUUAAGUCUGUACCUCAAGAAAAGUGGACACUUGCACAUGACCAUGAGCAUCGAUAUGGGGCAACCUGUCAGAG